rnacentral:lncRNA from 1 species
CAGCUGAUGCAGGUGCAAUGAGAAGAGAAGGAACAAAGGGUUUGGGAGUGAGGGCACUGGGAAAAACACAGAGGAUGACAUCUGAUAAUAAGAAAGUGUCUGUUUCCACUGGCCUGCUCCUGUAUCUCUGAAUCCUGCCUGCAGGGCACUCACUGUAGCUCCGUCCCACAGGAAAAGAAAGAAAGAAGAUGGGAAAAGAGGAAGACGAGGAGAAGGGGAGGACAGGAAUGAUGAUAGAAUGUAGAGGGACAGAUAGGUUAGAAUCUAUGUAUAUUUUAGGCACUCAUUAA